CCUAACACAUGCAAGUCGAACGGUAACAGGAAACAGCUUGCUGUUUCGCUGACGAGUGGCGGACGGGUGAGUAAUGUCUGGGAAACUGCCUGAUGGAGGGGGAUAACUACUGGAAACGGUAGCUAAUACCGCAUAACGUCGCAAGACCAAAGAGGGGGACCUUCGGGCCUCUUGCCAUCAGAUGUGCCCAGAUGGGAUUAGCUAGUAGGUGGGGUAACGGCUCACCUAGGCGACGAUCCCUAGCUGGUCUGAGAGGAUGACCAGCCACACUGGAACUGAGACACGGUCCAGACUCCUACGGGAGGCAGCAGUGGGGAAUAUUGCACAAUGGGCGCAAGCCUGAUGCAGCCAUGCCGCGUGUAUGAAGAAGGCCUUCGGGUUGUAAAGACGGUUC
rnacentral:rRNA from 1 species